CUAUCUGUGUUUCAGAGCUUCGCAACACGGGAAACCUCACCCGGCCUGGACAUGGACAGGAUUGACAGAUUGAGAGCUCUUUCUCGAUUCCUUGGGUGGUGGUGCAUGGCCGUUCUUAGUUGGUGGAGUGAUUUGUCUGGUUAAUUCCGAUAACGAACGAGACUCUGGCAUGCUAACUAGUUACGCGACCCCCGAGCAAUCGGCGUCCAACUUCUUAGAGGGACAAGUGGCGUUCAGCCACCCGAGAUUGAGCAAUAACAGGUCUGUGAUGCCCUUAGAUGUCCGGGUCUGCAUGCGUGCUACACUGACUGGCUCAGCUUGUGUCUACCCUACGCCGACAGGCGCGGGUAACCCGUUGAACCCCAUUCGUGAUGGGGAUCAGGGAUUGCAAUUAUUCCCCAUGAACGAGGAAUUCCCAGUAAGCACAGGUCAUAAGCUCGCGUUGAUUUAGUCCC
rnacentral:ncRNA from 1 species